rnacentral:SRP_RNA from 1 species
GCUGGGUGUGGUGGUGGGCGCCUGUAAUCCCAGUUACUUGGGAGGCUGAGUCAGGAGAAUUGCUUGAGCCCAGGAGGUGGAGGUUGCAGUGAGCUGAGAUCACACCACUGCACUCCAGCCUGAGCAACAGAGCAAGACUCUGUCUCAA